AAAGAAGCGGAGGGAAGCAACACAGCGCAGCGUGACUACGUGCUUGAUCUGUCUCCUCCUAACGGGCAUGCAGGCAACCCAGGUGCCUUAGGUAAGUGACCCCAUUCCCUGCCCUGCCUUGGAGGGCCGGAUGAGUCAAAGAGUAAUCUUAUCCCUCUGCUAGUGAGUACAAAUGAAGUCUGUGGGCCAACAAGGAGCGAGGAGCAGUUUCCUGGAAGCCCUGGGCUGGUGUUUGACUUGCUUUGAGAUAGAAUAAAUGGGAGAAAGAGACUUUAUGGGACAUCUGGGCCUAGGGCUCCUGGAUGCUGUGCUGAAAACACCACGUACAGAAGCCAGUCUAACCUUCUGGAUGAUGAGAGCCCAGAUGCAGUACAGAGGUGCCCCAGCCAACAAUCAGCUGCUAUCUGAAUCCCAUCUGGAUCCCAUCUGAAUCCCAUGUCACCAUGAAUGAGGCCACCUUAGCCCAGCCAGCACAGCUGAAAGCCAGAAGCAGCCGCAUGCACAAGCCCAGGGGAAGCCCACAGAGGAACCACCAGCCAACACACAGAAUUGCAAGCAGUUAAGCAACUAAGAUUAAGACAACAAUUUUAAAAUGAACCAGGUCCGGCCGGGUGCGGUGGCUCUCAGGCCUGUAAUCCCAGCACUUUGGGAGGCCGAAGCGAGCGGGUCACCGGAGGUUGGGAGUUCGAGACCAGCCUGACCAACAUGGAGAAACCCCGUCUCUACUAAAAAU
rnacentral:lncRNA from 1 species